rnacentral:rRNA from 1 species
UCCAGACUCCUACGGGAGGCAGCAGUGGGGAAUAUUGGGCAAUGGGCGCAAGCCUGACCCAGCAACGCCGCGUGAAGGAAGAAGGCUUUCGGGUUGUAAACUUCUUUUAAGAGGGAAGAGCAGAAGACGGUACCUCUUGAAUAAGCCACGGCUAACUACGUGCCAGCAGCCGCGGUAAUACGUAGGUGGCAAGUGUUGUCCGGAUUUACUGGGUGUAAAGGGCGUGUAGCCGGGCUGACAAGUCAGAUGUGAAAUUCCGGGGCUCAACCCCGGACCUGCAUUUGAAACUGUUGGUCUUGAGUAUCGGAGAGGCAGGCGGAAUUCCUAGUGUAGCGGUGAAAUGCGUAGAUAUCAGGAGGAACACCGGUGGCGAAGGCGGCCUGCUGGACUGCGACUGACGUUGAGGCCCGAAAGCGUGGGGAGCAAACAGGAUUAGAUCCCCCAGUACA